GAUGGAGGCAAAGUUCAGAUGUUUGAGGAGUUACAGAUGUACUGAUGGCAUGGGACAACCACACAGUCAUAUCAGGCUGGAUAUUAGGAAGAGUUUCUUAUCUGAAAGAGUGGUGAAUUAUUUGCACAGGCUGCCCAGGGGAAGAUGGGGAAUCUUUGUCCCUGGUGGUGUUCCAGAAAGGUGAGGAAAAGGACAAGAGGCUCUGAAUAUCAGAGCAAUAGAGGCUGCUCUCACCUGCUGCACUGCUGAGUUCCUGCGGUGUACAUUAACAUCAUGAGCAAAAUGCUGUUUUCUGGAGAGAAACGGAAAGAUGGGCUUUGGGUCAGAAGAUCCAGGGAAGCUUUUUCUGUGGGAGCCCUAAAGCUGUUAUCUUCUGGCUCAGGAGCUGACUUGUGUCACGAUAAAACAAUUCCCUCCCCUUGCUAGAUUGACACACUUUUAAAUUUACUACAUCUUUCCAAGUGAAGGCAGCAGGUAUGGGACAGGAGUAGAAUUUCUCAGGGUUUCACACCCAUUUGCCACAUCACUUUGUCGUGUUUCUGACCACUCCUAUUCUGGGUGCACAGGUCGAGAUGUGGAAAGCAAUGGGACAUCUGAAUGUGCCUCAUUGUCACCAUCUCCACCUCCCCCCCCAUCCCACUCAGCCUUCCUUCCUGUUGCACAGUCCAUCCCUGCAGGGCUGCUUCUGUUCUUGGAAAUAUGUUUUGGAGAUCAUGGAAUCCUUAGAGUUGGAAGGGACCUUUAAAGGUCAUCUAGUCCAACUCCCCUGCAAUGAACAGGGACAUGCACAGCUAGAUCAGGUUGCCAUUCUUGAUGCCAUCUUGCUGUGGUUGACAAUGGAAGAGCUCAGAGAUCGGCACAUCUUGUUCCCCCUUCAAGGAAACCCAGGUGAAGAAGUGAAAGGUAACUUAUUUCAUUCCUUGACCACCCCAGGCUGGAGGGUGUGAACUUGUGGGGUGGUCUAAAACACCCUGCAGCACAAUGAAAACCCUUCAUUCAUAGCACCUGAGCCUUGUUGGGUGCAGGGGGUGUGGAUGUGCACCCAGUGGGCCAGGGUCUGCUGUCCCCAUCCAUGUGAAACCAUUGGUGUUUCCCUUGCAGCACAGAAGCUCCCCAGGUGGAAAGCAAACCCCCUCACUCAGCUGCAUGCAUCCCCAGCGUGGCCCUGGUGGAUUUUAGUGCUGCCCCACUGCCAGCCCCAUGGCACGGUGCUCACAUGCCCAGUGCAACCAGUUCUCUCUGGGGCAAUGGGCCACUCCAGGGCAGGAAUCUGCAGCUUUAAGGCACAGCCUGGCUGCAGAGCAGGUUGCUCUUCUCAUCCUCCUGUGAUCUGCCAGAGUCAACUUAGCUGAGAGUAAUUAGUGUGGUUAUCAAGGGAAGAGGUGGAUUAAUGUGGGAAAGUCAUUGAUGAAGGCAGAGAAGGGCAGAUGCUUUCCUGGAGUCCCCAAUCAAUACAGACCUUGGAGGAUGAAUGCGGGCUUCAAAGAAAAGCAUCAGUGAACAAUUGAAUGCUUUCAGCUCCCGGAUGGCUGCUCUGCCUGAAGCAAUGAGUGAAAUACAGCACCAGGCACCCUGCACCUCUCGCAAUUAUCCCUUACUCGUGCCACUGAAGGACCCUCUGCCCAUCAGGCACCCCUGUGAGAAGAGUGCUGGUGGCAGGGAGGUGGGCGCUGAGGAGGAGGCUGUGAAUUUGUGCCCAAGUCGUGGUUGUGCUCCCUGGAACUUCUGUGCUCUUUGCCCUGUGUGUUGGCCUGUGCUGGUCCCCACACAACGCCUGUGCCAGCCCUGCAGAGUCCCCUCCUCCUGCUCUGUUUUGCUUUGCUUUAAUUGUGCCAUGUGGAAAGUGGGUCAGGAGGAGCUGGGAAGGCAGCAUGCUUUGUGCAGGAGAUCUGCUGCCUUGAGUAGCGGUGACACCGGGCUGGUGGCCACCAUAUCUCCCAUUGCCAGCAGUCCUGCCUGCAGUCCAUGUGGCCCAGAACUGCUCUUUGUAGGCUUUGUAGGCCUGGAAGGUGCAGAGAGGUGCUCUUCCAUUGCUCUGCUGGAGACACAGAAUGCUCCAGCUGCCUGCUGUGCCACUCUGCAGCAUGCAGCAGCUUUACUCGAAAGCCGAGCAGGGUGUGAUGGUGCUGCAGAGAGGGGGGGGGGAAAAAAAGCAAAAUAAAACAAAUCACAGCACGUUUCUUUUUUGAGCUCCCAGCCCCUUCUCUGUCAUCCCUGCUGGAAUGCGCCUCCGAAUUCCUCUCUGCGUGCUGCUGCUGGCUUUGCCUCUGAUUAUUUGCAGCGAUUGCGUUUUUCCCACACUCCGGAUCACGGUGAGGGAUCACCCAUGGCUCUGUGCCGGCUCCCUAUCAGCCCCAGCACAGUGUGCAAGCGCGGGCGAAGCAGCAAGUCAAGAGCUCUGGUGGAGUGCAGUGGGCGCUGCGUGAUUCGGAUCUGAAUCACCCCGUGUCAGGGCAGCUCCCCUCUGCUCUCAGCCCAGCACCUGCACCAGGUGCUCGGUGGGCAGCUCCUUCACCCCUCAUGCUGCACGUCCAUGGGGUUGAGCAGGGCAAGAGGUGGAGAUGGAGCUCUUGUCUUUGAUGUGCUCCUCGUCGCUUUGGUCUCUGUCUCCAUUUCAGAUGUCUUCACUUGCUGGCAAAGCUUUGGGAAUGCUCCUUCACCCGAGCAGCUGGGUUUUUGCUCUCAGUGUCCUGUGAUGAGGGAAGAAGUGGCAGCAGGGAUUGUUUUUAACUCCUGCACGUUGUUUUUUCUGCUGAAACUGAGUUCCCUGCUCUGUGCACGCAGGGCAGCUGUGGUUUCCAUUAGCCUGGACACAAAGGAGAGGUGCCCAUGCCCGGGUGUUGGGAUGUCACAAAAAUGGCUGGGACCAGCUGUGGCCCAUUCCCAAUUCCAUGAACGUGGAAGGCAGGACCCACCUAUGCUCUCCAUUGUAUUAGCCAAGCACCUGGCAGCCAUUUCCACUCUCAGCAGCUUAAGGUGCCCUUUUAGAGCCCCAAAGACCUCCAGGAGGUCAGGAUGCAUUUGCAAGCCAAGCACCAAAAAUCCAGGCACGCCAAAGCAGCCUCCGCUCUCUCCUAUUGAUGUGCUACAUUUUCCAAAGUGACUCCAUAAAUA